CGCGAGUGAUCCCUGACAGAACGGCCCCCCUCUCCGCCCUGGGGGAGCCGGGAGGAUGUGCAGCCCCAGUCCUCCUGCUCGGCGGAGCCUCGCGCGCGCAGAGCCUAGCGCGAUUCGCGCCCUCAUUACUACUACAAAGCGCGGGCCAGACCAAUCCCCUUUCUAAUGCACCAUUUUCGACUGAGAACAUCAAGAGGCCAGAAACUUCCAAGUCAGCUUGCAGACGCAGACGCCUCCUGGGGUCCUGGCUUUAAGAACCAGAUGCCAACACUCCCGGACAGUUUAUGGCAUCCGGAUCCCUCAAGGGUGCUCAUCUGCAGUUGAGAGUGUUAGUAGCAAUUAUUUAUCUGUCCUGGAGAGGAGUUCCUGAACAUAAAUGUCCUCUGCUGGCCCUAAAGCUGGGGGCGGAGGCUGUGUGUUGUGGGGUGGGGGUUGGGGGGCCGAAUGUUCCC
ensembl:lncRNA ID2-AS1 ID2 antisense RNA 1